CAUGUAGGUGGCCUCUUAAGUCGAUUGUGAAAUCCCUUGGCUUAACCAAGGAACUGCAAUCGAUACUGAAAGGCUUGAGUGCAGAAGAGGAAAGCGGAAUUCCCGGUGUAAGAGUGAAAUCUGUAGAGAUCGGGAGGAACACCAGUGGCGAAGGCGGCUUUCUGGUCUGCAACUGACACUGAAAUGCGAAAGCUAGGGGAGCAAACAGGAUUAGAUACCCUGGUAGUCC
rnacentral:rRNA from 1 species